CAACCCUCAAGCUCUGCUUGGUGUUGGGCCUCACUAGCAAUAGUGUGCCCUAAAAUCAGUGGCGGUGCCAUCUGGCUCUAAGCGUAGUAAAUCUCUCGCUCUAGGUGCCCGGUUGACAUUUGCCAGCAACUCCUUUUUUAUUAA
rnacentral:misc_RNA from 1 species